GCUCUUGGCGCAGUGGUAGCGCGCCCGCUUUGCAAGGAACUUUUUAACAGAAGUUCCACCAAAAGAGCGGAAGGUCGCGGGUUCGAAUCCCGCAGAGU
rnacentral:tRNA from 1 species